AAGAAAUUCAAGAUGUCGGCUUCGGCACUUCGGCAGUGUUUAUCAACCUUAUUUCAACUUGCUUUUGGUUCGGAUUUUAUUAGUUUAUUAAUGUUCAAAAGAAUUACAAUAUGUUUCCAGUUACAUUGAAAGCAUUUUGUGAAAGUUUUACUGCAUUAUUUCAAUGAUUCCUUCAGAAGUGUUGUGCUUAGAAGGGUUUCGGCGAUGUUUUGGGAUGAACCGAAUUGUUGGAGGUGAAGAGAUACAUGACAACAUUUCUCAGUGCAAUGCAUCGAUGCUGAUAUGAGCUGGAGGACAUCCUCAUGUGACUUGAGUCAUCGACCAGAGCCUUCAAGUGUGGCUGUUGACAGCUGAUUGGUGGAGGUGGAUGCAUGGAUGCUGAUGUGAGCUGGGCGGGCGGACAUCCUCAUGUCAUGUCCCGAAGAUUUCAAGUAGGACUUGACAGCUGGUGAUGGAGAUGAAUUUGAAGGCGAUAAGAGUGGACAGCAUAGGCAGAGUUUUGGACAGUGGACAAAACGGACUUCGCAGCCACAGAACAACAUGAGUCACUUCACUUCUGCUUCUGCUACAACGUCAUCUUCUUCUUCUGCUACUACUGAUACUACUUCUACUGAUUCUACUGCUACUGUUACUGCUUCUGCUGAUACUGCUACUGCUGCUACUACUGUUGCUGCUGCUUCUUCUGUGCUGAGAAAUCCACACUUUUGGACGUUUGUAGCUGAUUGCUGAUCAUUGCAGUAAUAAGGUGUUACAUCUGUGAGUUCACUUAGAUUAUGAUGAUUCUCUUUUACUUCUUCUUCUUCUUCUACUUCUUCCUACUAACACAUUUUGUAUUGAUAUAGGGUGAUUGUUCAUUGCAUUGUUAUAGCCAAUAUUAGUUUCAUUUAGUAGACUAUAAUAAUAUGAAAUCUGUUACAUGACAUUCAAAAAUUUGGAGGAUUCAGAGCAAGAAUUUUUUUCUCUUAUUCAUGAAAUGGAGGUGCAAUAUACAAGCAUAGAAAUUUAGUAAUAGAAAAAAGUCGGUGGAGUUAUGCAGCUUGAGGUACGUUUAGACGUGUAUACAAUUGUAGAUUAAUUUGUAUGAGAUUCAAGGGUGAUUAUAUAAAGAUUGGAAUCGAAUAUAUUGCAGCUCAUAAAAAAUGAUUGAAUAAGGAGAUUGAUCAUACUUGUAAUUUUGACAUGUAUCUCAUGCAAAUGUAUUUUAUAUUUGUAUACAAUUCUUGACGUACCUUGGAAUGUAUAAUUGGAGAAGUGGAGCUGUGCUUGUAUACUAAGGUAGGUGAUCACCUCAUCGUGGAACACAUGCCGCCGAUUAUGCAGAUCUCCGAAUCACCGCCACCUGUCUAUUUAUUAACCAUAUUACAACGAAACAGUCUGCAACUAUUGGACCAGAGAUCUAUAGACAUUAGACAAAGUUUUAUGCAGAACAAUAUUUUCAAGUAGUUGAGACCUUUACACGAAUGUACAAAUUUACAAAAUGAUUAUAGUGAGUUCCUCGUUAUAAUGGCAGUAUUUGAUUAGCAUUGGUGUUGCUAUCCUUGUCUAUCAUUCGACAAAGCAGAUAGCGCCAUCCUUUUCUAGCUCUGCAACGUUGCCAGAUCGUUUUUAACAAUGUAUAAAUAUAAUUAAUUUACAAAAUAUUUAUUUUUAAUUAUAAAAAAUUAAUAAUUUGAUCAUUGAAAAACAUAUUGACAAAUGAAAUAUAAAUUAUAGAUUAUUGUAAUCAAGAUAUAUAACAUCAGAUAUACUAGUAUCAGCUAUUCUUUUUAGAAGGCAGAGAAUUGGCAACGCUGUUCCUCCUAUCUUUCUUCACUGCCAUAAUAGCGUGGACCUCACUAUUGUAAAAUAGACAAGUAGCCCACCUCUCUACAAAAACAAGAUUUAGUCGAGUAUCCAGGCUGUUACAAGUUGCAAAUUUAUUCUUUCAAUAUUAUUUUAAUACAUUUCAAAUCUUGUAUUUGUUGGCUGAAUUGACGUUUGAUUAGUAGAAUUUUAGAUAAAUUUCUUGGUGAUGAAGUAAAAUGUUUUGAUCGUUUGCUGAAAACGUAGUCUCAGAAGCAGAAAUGUUUUGGUAUUUGCUAAAACCGUAAAUUCAGAAACAUGAGUUCAAUUAUUGCUUCAAUUGAAUAUUUUUGAAACUUGUCAAUUACCUGGUUACAGUAUUUUUGAAUGAUUUUAGUGCCUUUAGCUGUGGAGGUGUUGAACUAUUUCGAUAAUUUGUUACAUUCGUGGAAUGGUUUAUUCAAGUAUGGUUCUGUUGAGGAAGCAGUACCUCUCAGGCUACAGUAAUGUGUUUCAAAUUGAUUCAAAUACAGUAAAAGUGUUACAAUUUCCAGUCAAGUGUUUGUUGUAGCAUUUUUGCUGUAAAUUCCUUUAUCCUUGAAUCGGUUGGUGUGAGAGAAUAAUAAAAUAUUUCUGAUUUGGUUGUUUUGCAAUCAUUUUUCCUUCAUCAUGAAUCAGUUUGAAACACAUCACUGCUUAUUCGAAAAUUAUGUAAAAUUAAGUGUUUUAUUCAGCGCUUUGAGUUGUCACAAACUGGUAUUGUAGUUUGUAUGGAGUAGUUUCAAUACAAAAAUGAUUAAUUGUUGAAUGAUUAAUGAGAGAUUACUCUCAGUCAACAGUAAUGCUUAUCAAAUUAAUUCCAAUACAGUAAAAGUGUUGCAAUCAUUUACAUUCUAAUAAUACUGUAGAGUGAAUAUUGUAGCAUUUUUACUGUAAAUUCCUUUAUCCUUGAAUCGGUUGGUGUGAGACAAUAAUAAAUGAUUUCUGGCUCUGGUUGUUUUUCAAUCAUUUUUCCUUAAUUAUGAAUCUGUUUUUUAAAAUGAUAGUGAUAUUCAGGCUACCAUAUGCUUACUAUUUCCAGUACUACGCAUGCGCUGUCAAGUGUUACAUUCUCAAAUUGAAGUAUAGCGAACUGGAAGAUUGAAGGAAAUUGUGAUGAUGCUCAUUCUCUGACAAGUAAUGGCACAUGUUUCACUUACGAGCAGUAGUUUGGCAAGCAUUACUUGACAGAUGCAUACGACUUGUUUGAAGCACAAGGCACAGUAUCAAUCAAACAAGGAUGUUUAUAUUAUAAGUUGAGUGUGAUAAUUGAUUUAAAUUCUUGAACAACAUUGUUGGGUUGUGAUUCUACAUGGAGCUGGGUACAACCCAACAUGUCUUCUUUGAAUCCUCCAAUAUUUCAAUUUAAAAUUGAGCAUAAAUAUUAGUGAUCAAGUGUGAAAUGGAUAUACUGUACUGAAUCACCCUUUAUCAUGUAAGACUGUAAUUAGGAUAUUUU